ensembl:rRNA 5S_rRNA 5S ribosomal RNA
GCCAGCAGCCAUAUCACCCUGCAGGCCUCAACAAGCUACUCACUGAAGCUAAGCAGGGUUGAACCUGGUCAGUACCUGGAUGGGAGACCACCUGGGAAGCUUUGGUUGCUGCUGGAA